rnacentral:lncRNA from 1 species
AGCAAUCAUCCCAAAGGAGAGACAUCUCCCAGCUCCCCAGUCAUCCUGUUGGAGGUCUGUUUUGCUCUAUACAGGCAGAUCAGGUUCCAAAAAGCAUCAUGUUUCUGGAGGAAGAACACUGACAAAAUCAAAGCAUGUGUGAGGAAGAGCCAAGCUGAAGCCAGGAAGGCGUUCAUCUGUCGUUUGGUCUCCAUACAUUUCACCAGAGCUCGCAAGGAGAAGCAGCAGUGCAAGUUUAUUUUAGCCAACCAAGUCAGUUGCUGGGACCACAGCAUCUCUUCCAGGAAACCAAAAAGCCUCUUAAAACAUCUUCAGAAACUUAACAGGUA